CUAAGAUUUACAAGAUUGGUGUGAUUCUAAUCAGCAGCAUACUGCUCAAGCACUGUUUAUGAGAACAUGUUGAUAUGGAAAAUAGGGCUGAAAAUAUUGUAAAAACACAUUCAGUCUGGUAUGGAAACAACUUCCAAGAAGUUAUUUUUGAACAAUUUCCACUUCUUGUCUUGUCCUUAAACAGGAAACAGUAAGAAUCAUAACAAUAACUAUGUUUAGGUUCUUAAGCUUUACAAAAUCUUGCAAGCAAGUUAAAGUCACUGGCACAAGUACUGGGAAAUUCUUAUUAAAUUCAGAUACAUUUUACCAUACUCAUUUUUUGCUUUCCUGACAAAGAACAACUGUAACUCCAAAGGUAUUUUCAUCAAAAAUACUUUUUAGAAAUCAAAGAUUACGUUCCUGUCUGUGACAAUGCUUUGACAGCAAAGGACUUCUAUCAGCUUUCCUCAGUUGGAGAAACUGGCUGAGAGCUCCUUGUUUAAUGAUUUCUUUAACAUUACUGAUGACAGGUUGUCCUUGUGAACCAUGCCAGGAACUUCUUAUCCUGUCUCUCUCCUCCCCUGCAGGUUUGAUACAUCUUACUAGAAGAAAGGUAGACACUGGAACCAUGAAAGACUUGAAGGAAUACAGUGACAUGAGAAACAACCAGGUUUUCCAGUCCUUACUAAUGGUUCCCCUAGAAGAGGACAGACCACAUCCAAUCCAUCAAUAUAAGGAAACUUUCAGGUGCAACAUCGGAUUGAUCAUUGAAAGAAGUUGAACUUUCAGAAACCAGCAGUCUUCUGUCAGUUUCUAAAUUGUUUGUCAUCUUCAGACUCCCACCUAUCCUUCCUCAUCUGGAAAUUAUGCAACCUAUUUAAGAGUCAUUUUGGCUGUGUGUACAGCCUUACUGUGCCUUUGUAAACAACAAUGAUGUCUCAUUCCUGCAAAGUUUACAUUCAGAAUGUUUUUGGUUUUUUUUUCUAUCUAUACUUUGUAGCUAGUAAGAUCAUAAUGUUGGCCACGCAGUACAUGGAUUCCCUUUGUUUUAAUUUUUUAUCCGAAGAAUGAGAACAGCUGAUUCAUAUUUUAUUUGCGUAUGUACAGUCUAGUUGUUACUUUGAAGAACUUUAAAACAUCUUAAGCUCUGAGCUGAAAAAAACCAAUCCCAAGCUAAGAUUUUAGAAAAGAACACUACACUAGUCACAUUACUCCUCCCCUCAAAAAAAAAAGAGAGAAAAAAUAAUAGGAAAAAAAGAAGAAAAAUAGUUAGAUUUAAGUUAGAUUUAACAUUUUAAAAUGAGUUUGAAAACCUUGAGAACAAAAUGUUUAUUUCUCCUAAUCUCCCUGUUUGUUUUCAUUUCUGGAGAGAAAGACUUUAUUGAGUUUUGCAUCAAUCUCAACACAAGUGUUUAAAAAAUUUCCUCCUUAGUCACUUUGUGCCCAGAUUCUAGACAAUGUUUGAAACCUGCACUACCUGCAGACUCACCCAAGAAUCUCGCAUUGUCUUUCUACAGUAUUUCUGUAAGGUUUAAUAUCUUUCAUAGCCAUUUGUCUGUUGUCAGACUCGCAUAGCAUUGCAGCACAUUGCUAGGAUACGGUAAAUGUUUUUAGAAGUGAAAGACCUCCCCUUUUUCCUAUUACUAUCUAGAAUAUAAGGCCAGAUUUUACUCUCUGAUAUGCUCAUGCAACUCGCAGUGGAGUAAAUGGAGUCCUAGAAGGACUGGAAGGGUAGAAUUUGGCCUUGAAGAUUUAUAGAGCUAUAAAAAUACAAGUAGAUAGCUCAGAUUAUAUUUUCUGGAAUUUAGAACUGAACCAACAUCCCUAUCAAAUGUUUCUUCUUAAAAUGGCUUUAGAAUCCCUUGGAACAUUAUUUUUUUUAUUAUUAUUAUGCUCUUUAAGGUCCUUGGAUUCAUUUAACCUUCAGUCUGAUCUGUCAAAGGUGAAAUUUGCAUUUGCAUGGCAAGUUAGCCUAGUUCUCUUCCCUCUUCCUCUCUUUCCUAUCUAGUAUCAAGGGUGGGGCAAUAUAGGACAGAAGUCAGAAACGGAAAUGCAGUGCUGGCUAACUCAGUAUCUCCUGGAAGCUGCAACAGAAAUUCUCCCACUGUCCAGAAGAAGGGAUGUGAGGUGGGAGUGGAACUGCGUGGUUUGGAAUGACACUGGAGGCAGUGACCUGAUAAGCCUUAUGUAGGAGAGAAAUAACACAGACUGUGAGCUGCAACAGUAGCUUACUCUGACUUUGCACAAAUUAUUGAAUCUCAUUCUUUUUCUGACUUGUCAUGACGUCCAAGAAGAGUCUUACCUUCUUUAUUUUUGAAAAUAAUUUUCCUAUCUCCUGGGCAAUUGCUGAAGAGCCUGCCAUUGAUACUUUGAGAACUGUGUAGCAUAAUGUAUGUAUUGUAGACCUCCUUUUUAUUUACUGUCUGUUAUUCCAAAUUCAAAACAGAAUUAACUCAAAAUAAAC
rnacentral:lncRNA from 1 species